ACAAGCUAACUUUUGUAAUCGAUGGUAGAUAUAGUCUGAGAGAGCAUGCAAGACAAUUCAACUUGUUUGGACCAUCAGAUGAGUUUCUCCCUUCCAUGCUACGAUGCUACUUCACCUGUCUCGUCAUUAGGCCGGUGUUAGCAGUAAGUACAGAAUCCUUUGUUUGACAAAAGAGAAAAUCUUUCAAAGAAGAGAAAAACAGAGUAUUUUUUGUCAAAUUUGUGACUUCGAGCAGCGUCUUUUGCGUAUUUGCUUGCUCUUUCCUGCUACUGCUACUAGCGACAUGCCUUCUGGAACCAUGAAGUUUGCGAAAACAAGGCUGGAACACAACGAUCGUGAUCCAGGGCACGGCAAAUGGGAGAUGACUGGGAGUGCAGAGGAAUCGGAGUGAGUUCAGCCGCUCAAUGCCGAGAUCGAAAAGUUCAAUUCCCAACGAGGUAGUCAUACUGAUUCGUAUAUGCAACAAACAGGUUUCCAACCGAAUAAGCCACAUUUACUAGCGUGAUCCCAGCCUAUACCCAAAUGGGAGCUUUGGAACAGGGUAUGGAGAUUUAUCAAAGCAUAAUGGAAGGAGGGUUUUUGUCAGAUGAUAUGGUCGGAAAUUGUCUGAUAGACAUGUAUAUAAGAUGUGGAAGAAUUGAAAGGCACAACAACUGUUUGACGAAAUGACUCAAAGAGAUGCCAUCACAUGGACUACAAUCAUUGCAGGAUACACACAAAAUGGAUGUGUUGAUAAAGCUUUAGAAAAAUUUAAUCAAAUGCAAUUGGCAGGUGUAAAUCAGAAUUCCACAAACUUUGCCAGCAUCCUCCCUGCCUUCGCCAAAUUGGGAGCUUUCGAACAGGGUAUGGGCAUCGAUCAAAGCAUAAGGGAAGCAAUUGUGACUGCCUUGGUAGACAUUAUGCAAAAUGUGGAAGCAUAGAUAAGGCAUGUGAGCUGUUUGACAAAAUGUGCACAGAACGGAUUUGUUGAUAAGGCUUGAGAAACUUCUAAGCAAGUGUAAUUGGCAGCUAUAAAAUAAAACUCCAAAAUCUUUGCCAGCAUCCUCCCUGCCUGUGCCAAAAUCGGAGCUUUUUACCACGGUAUGAAUAUCCAUAACAGUGUAAUGGAAAGGGAUUUUGGUUAGGAACAUGAACGCCAUAACACACUUCC